GCUUAACACAUGCAAGUCGAGGGGCAUCAGGAAGAAAGCUUGCUUUCUUUGCUGGCGACCGGCGCACGGGUGAGUAACACGUAUCCAACCUGCCCUUUACUCGGGGAUAGCCUUUCGAAAGAAAGAUUAAUACCCGAUGGCAUAAUGAUUCCGCAUGGUUUCAUUAUUAAAGGAUUCCGGUAAAGGAUGGGGAUGCGUUCCAUUAGGUUGUUGGUGAGGUAACGGCCCACCAAGCCUUCGAUGGAUAGGGGUUCUGAGAGGAAGGUCCCCCACAUUGGAACUGAGACACGGUCUAAACUCCUACGGGAGGCAGCAGUGAGGAAUAUUGGUCAAUGGGCGGUAGCCUGAACCAGCCAAGUAGCGUGAAGGAUGAAGGCUCUAUGGGUCGUAAACUUCUUUUAUAUAAGAAUAAAGUGCAGUAUGUAUACUGUUUUGUAUGUAUUAUAUGAAUAAGGAUCGGCUAACUCCGUGCCAGCAGCCGCGGUAAUACGGAGGAUCCGAGCGUUAUCCGGAUUUAUUGGGUUUAAAGGGAGCGUAGGUGGACUGGUAAGUCAGUUGUGAAAGUUUGCGGCUCAACCGUAAAAUUGCAGUUGAUACUGUCAGUCUUGAGUACAGUAGAGGUGGGCGGAAUUCGUGGUGUAGCGGUGAAAUGCUUAGAUAUCACGAAGAACUCCGAUUGCGAAGGCAGCUCACUGGACUGCAACUGACACUGAUGCUCGAAAGUGUGGGUAUCAAACAGGAUUAGAUACCCUGGUAGUCCACACAGUAAACGAUGAAUACUCGCUGUUUGCGAUAUACAGUAAGCGGCCAAGCGAAAGCAUUAAGUAUUCCACCUGGGGAGUACGCCGGCAACGGUGAAACUCAAAGGAAUUGACGGGGGCCCGCACAAGCGGAGGAACAUGUGGUUUAAUUCGAUGAUACGCGAGGAACCUUACCCGGGCUUAAAUUGCAGUGGAAUGAUGUGGAAACAUGUCAGUGAGCAAUCACCGCUGUGAAGGUGCUGCAUGGUUGUCGUCAGCUCGUGCCGUGAGGUGUCGGCUUAAGUGCCAUAACGAGCGCAACCCUUAUCUUCAGUUACUAACAGGUCAUGCUGAGGACUCUGGAGAGACUGCCGUCGUAGGAUGUGAGGAAGGUGGGGAUGACGUCAAAUCAGCACGGCCCUUACGUCCGGGGCUACACACGUGUUACAAUGGGGGGUACAGAAGGCAGCUAGCGGGUGACCGUAUGCUAAUCCCAAAAGCCUCUCUCAGUUCGGAUCGAAGUCUGCAACCCGACUUCGUGAAGCUGGAUUCGCUAGUAAUCGCGCAUCAGCCACGGCGCGGUGAAUACGUUCCCGGGCCUUGUACACACCGCCCGUCAAGCCAUGGGAGCCGGGGGUACCUGAAGUACGUAACCGCAAGGAUCGUCCUAGGGUAAAACUGGUGACUGGGGCUAAG
rnacentral:rRNA from 1 species